rnacentral:rRNA from 1 species
UACGGAGGGUGCAAGCGUUAUCCGGAUUCACUGGGUUUAAAGGGUGCGUAGGAGGGCAGGUAAGUCAGUGGUGAAAUCUCCAAGCUUAACUUGGAAACUGCCGUUGAUACUAUCUGUCUUGAAUGUUGUGGAGGUGAGCGGAAUAUGUCAUGUAGCGGUGAAAUGCUUAGAUAUGACAUAGAACACCAAUUGCGAAGGCAGCUCACUGCACAAUUAUUGACUCUGAGGCACGAAAGCGUGGGGAUCAAACAGG